UUUUUUUUUUCAUUUCUACAUUUUAGAAAUCCCGCGAAUCAAAUAGGCCCUAAGCCACUCAUGGGUCUGAUGAAAUUCAUCUCCCUUGAUGAUAUAGCCAUGGAUACAUUCACACUAACCUAUUUGUAUGGAUCAACCAACUCACCCAACGUAUUAAGCCACUCAUGAGUCUACACUGAAACCCCUGUCCUGCAAAAGACAUGAUAAGGGAUAAUUUACUUGAGAUAAGAGGCAAACAAGUUACUUGUCCAUGAAAACAUGCUUUCUUUCUCUUGGAAACAGAGGAAAACACUUUGACACAUCUCAUUAUUUAAGAAGAGUUUAAAAAUAAUUACAAUAACCGAGCCAAAAGCCCCACUACUCUCGUGGCAUAACUGAGCUCAAAUGCUUUGACCCAAUGACAAUCCACAAGGCGGCCUCAUCCUUGAUCGUACGCACAACCACGCGAGGCAAAGAAAAAGCAUUGUUGAAGAAGCAAGCAUUCCGCUCAUUCCACAGCUCCCAAGAAGCCAACAAGAGAAGUGAUGACAUCUCUUCUUGGAGGUGUCGUUGACGAUUGCUAGAGAGGUACACCAUUCCAUAAUGGAAUUAAAAUGCUGGCAGCGAUCUCAAUGGAUGGCAUCCGACCAAGCGAAGCUCUAACAUCCUUCUGGACGUGCUUGGAGAAUCCGAACGCCUCCCUCUUGCACAAUCGCAACCUCCCAACCCCUCCUCUGGAAUCGAUCAGCUGUCCACCCCGCGGUCUUGAAGAAUUAGAGCAUCUACAGCCGGGCGCCUCAAACCCACCUCAUACGCCAGGGCGGGCCGCCCGGUCACGAUUUUUCAACCCAGAUGGACUCCUUAAACGGGCUUCAAACGCUCAGGCUGACCGACACCCCUCAUAUCCAGUUCAAAUAUGGGGGUGGAUAUGGGGGCUCCCGGGCGCGCCCGGGAAUGCCCGCCAUGUCGGACCCGAUAGCCCGACCCCACCGCAAAUUGCACCAGACCCUUCCUCGUCCUCCUGCCGCCCUCCAACAUUUCCCGCGCCCGGAGCCUCGUCGUCCUUCACCUUUGCUCCCAAUCCUCACCACCGGUCCCAAUCCACCGCCGGAGAUGUCAUCCAGCCCGACCCAGACUGCCGCGACGAAGAUGUAGUCUGCCUUGUCCGUCGGCGGGGUCCCUUUGUCGGCUGCGACUUGCAAGGCGGAGAACGUCGCCCGGAAGUUGUGGCGACGCCGACAACGAGAGAUGGAGGCAUUGGCGGUGUCGCAGGGCGGUUCGGACAUGGGGGAGUAGCUAUCUCCUUCACCGCGCCCGAAUCCCCGCACCCCUUCGAUCCGAGCACCGACGCGGAUUAUGUCGUCCGACCCCGUUGGGACAGAGGAGGAUUCGACGACCGACUGGGCCAUUCCGGAUAGCUUUCCGCCCACGCAGAUGCAGGUGGUCGAUGUAUGUGACUCGCCUCGUUCAGGAGCGGAUUAGCACAGGCACCGGCACUGCCCGGGCUGCCCUCCACAUGUUCGAUGGAAUGACCGAACAAGAGUCGGUGCAUUUUCUUUGCUCUUGUUUGAUUAGAUUUUUGCAUAGAUCACUAGAUCAUUUCACAUAUGAUGAAUGCUUGCAAACCAUAAUCAUGUAGGAGGUGUUCUUGUCGAACAUGAUUAAUGACAAUGAAGACCCGACCGAAAUGAAGUAUGAAUUGGAGGCCACCACCGCAUUUGAAGUUGGGACAACAUCCGAUCCCAAUCCGAGCAAGAAGAAGAAGAAGGAAAAGACGGCGAAGGCAAGAGGCCUGACAUUCUCAAGAUUUGAGGACAUCUUGUUGGUCAAAGCUUGGUUGGCCACAAUGACGGAUCCAAUAUGCGACACUGAGCAAAAGGGGAACAAGUAUUGGGAGAAGAUUUGGAGGGAGUGUCACGAACAAAAGGAGUAUGCGGAGCCGCAUCCUGUCGUGACCACCCGCAAUGUGGCAUCUCUCCAACAUCGUUGGGGGAUCAUCCAAGGGGAAGUGAACAAGUACGUCGGCUAGUACUCACAAGUGACCAAACACCCUCAAAUUGAGAUGGGAGUGGUAACUGACGUAAGCUCAAUUGCUUCAUCUUGUCGUCAUUUGCAUAUGCUUCUUGUGUUUACAUUCUCGUGCUCAUACAUAUGUUGUUUGCUAGACAGCGGUGACGGUCACUUUGUAUCACGAGGUGGAGAAGAAUCCCUUUGCUUUUAGACAUUGUUGGAUCAUAUUGAGUGGCAAGCCGAAGUGGAACCAAUUUGUGGCCGAUCUCAAGUCCGGCAAUAAGAGGAAUGAUGGCUCAAGCUCCAACCAAUCAAUUGGGUUGGACGAUGUUGUCGUGACAAAUGGAAAAGAUAUCGUGCCAAAGGAUAACUGCCAAGUCAUGGGAAACAAGUGGGAGAAGGCAUGUGCCUCCCGUGAUGUUGUGACCACAAAAAUGUCGUCCACAUGGAUGGGCAUUUUUUCGGCGAGGGAGAAUGAUACACCCAUUUUGCAACAUGUUUUUAUGUGAUAUUUAUUGCAUUAUGAACUGUUAUUUUACUUUAUGAUACAAAUUUUAUGCCUUUUCUCUCUUAUUUUGCAAGAAUUAUAUGAAGAGGGAGAAUGCCGGUAACUGGAAUUCUGGACCGGAAAGGAACAAAUCUGAGAUACCUAUUCUGCACAACUCCAAAUGUCCUGAAACUUUAUAGAGAAUUGUUUUGAAAUAUAUAAAAAAAUAUUGGGCGAAGAAAUACCAAAAGGAGACCCACCAGGUGGCCACAAGCCUGGGGGCGUGCCCUACCCCCAGGGCGCACCCCUGAGCUUGUGCCCCCCUGGCCAGCCCCCGGUGUCCAUCUUCUGCUAUAUAGGGUUUUGAACUAGAAAAAAAAAUAAGAGGAAGGCUUUUGGGACGAAGUGCCACCAUCUUGAGGCGGAACCUCAACAUAAGCAAUCUAGAGCUCCGGCGGAGCGAUUCCGCCGGGGAAACUUCCCUCCCGGAGGGGGAAAUCGAAGCCAUCGUCAUCACCAAUGAUCCUCUCAUCGUGGGAGGGUCAAUCAUCAUCAACAUCUUCACGAGCACCAUCUCAUCUCAAACCCUAGUUCAUCUCUUCUAUUUAGUCUUUGUCUCAAAACCUCAUGUUGGUACCUAUGGGUUGCUAGUAGUGUUGAUUACUCCUUGUAGUUGAUGCUAGUUGGUUUAUUUGGUGAAAGAUCGUAUGUUCAGAUCCUUAAUGAUAUUCAAUACCCCUCUGGUCUUGAACAUGAACAUGCUUUGGAGCGUUCCAUCAAGUCUUGGUGGAUCACUCCCCUCCAAAGAAAAGUCUUGGUGGAUCACCAUGUUUAAGCUGCAUGUCCCCAAUAGGAAGGCAAUGGGCUAUCCAUGCUUGUUAGUUGAGAAAUUUUGACUGAGAGGAAUGCUAUGGUGUUCCAACAUAGAUCCCCCGACCACACUUUUCCUUGAGAUCUAGGAGGCCGUUCUUUGGUGCAUCCGUUUCAAACAAAAUAUGGCAACUUCAUUCAUGUUUUUUUUUCAUUUCUACAUUUUAGAAAUCCCGUGAAUCAAAUAGGCACUAAACCACUCAUGGGUCUGAUGAAAUUCAUCUCCCCUGAUGAUAUAGCCAUGGAUACAUUCACACUAACCUGUUUGUAUGGAUCAACAAGCUCACCCAACGUAUUAAGCCACUCACGAGUCUCCACUAAAACCUUGUCCUGCAAAAGACAUGAUAAGGGAUAAUUUACUUGAGAGAAGAGAAGAGGCAAGCAAGUUACUUGUCCAUGACAACAUACUUUCUUUUUCUUGGAAACAGAGAAAAACACUUUGACACAUCUCAUUAUUUAAGAAGAGUUUAGAAAUAAUUACAAUAACC
rnacentral:lncRNA from 1 species